GAACCUGGGGCGGGGUGCUUACCUGCAGUCGAACGAUGAUCCGGUGCUUGCACCGGGGAUUAGUGGCGAACGGGUGAGUAACACGUGAGUAACCUGCCCUUGACUCUGGGAUAAGCCUGGGAAACCGGGUCUAAUACCGGAUACGACCUUUCACCGCAUGGUGGUUGGUGGAAAGAUUUUUUGGUUUUGGAUGGACUCGCGGCCUAUCAGCUUGUUGGUGAGGUAAUGGCUCACCAAGGCGACGACGGGUAGCCGGCCUGAGAGGGUGACCGGCCACACUGGGACUGAGACACGGCCCAGACUCCUACGGGAGGCAGCAGUGGGGAAUAUUGCACAAUGGGCGAAAGCCUGAUGCAGCGACGCCGCGUGAGGGAUGACGGCCUUCGGGUUGUAAACCUCUUUCAGCAGGGAAGAAGCGAAAGUGACGGUACCUGCAGAAGAAGCGCCGGCUAACUACGUGCCAGCAGCCGCGGUAAUACGUAGGGCGCAAGCGUUGUCCGGAAUUAUUGGGCGUAAAGAGCUCGUAGGCGGUUUGUCGCGUCUGCUGUGAAAGCCCGGGGCUCAACCCCGGGUCUGCAGUGGGUACGGGCAGACUAGAGUGCAGUAGGGGAGACUGGAAUUCCUUGGUGUAGCGGUGAAAUGCGCAGAUAUCAGGAGGAACACCGAUGGCGAAGGCAGGUCUCUGGGCUGUAACUGACGCUGAGGAGCGAAAGCAUGGGGAGCGAACAGGAUUAGAUACCCUGGUAGUCCAUGCCGUAAACGUUGGGCACUAGGUGUGGGGGACAUUCCACGUUUUCCGCGCCGUAGCUAACGCAUUAAGUGCCCCGCCUGGGGAGUACGGCCGCAAGGCUAAAACUCAAAGGAAUUGACGGGGGCCCGCACAAGCGGCGGAGCAUGCGGAUUAAUUCGAUGCAACGCGAAGAACCUUACCAAGGCUUGACAUGGACCGGACCGCCGCAGAAAUGCGGUUUCCCUUCGGGGCUGGUUUACAGGUGGUGCAUGGUUGUCGUCAGCUCGUGUCGUGAGAUGUUGGGUUAAGUCCCGCAACGAGCGCAACCCUCGUUCUAUGUUGCCAGCGCGUUAUGGCGGGGACUCAUAGGAGACUGCCGGGGUCAACUCGGAGGAAGGUGGGGACGACGUCAAAUCAUCAUGCCCCUUAUGUCUUGGGCUUCACGCAUGCUACAAUGGCCGGUACAAAGGGUUGCGAUACUGUGAGGUGGAGCUAAUCCCAAAAAGCCGGUCUCAGUUCGGAUUGAGGUCUGCAACUCGACCUCAUGAAGUCGGAGUCGCUAGUAAUCGCAGAUCAGCAACGCUGCGGUGAAUACGUUCCCGGGCCUUGUACACACCGCCCGUCAAGUCACGAAAGUUGGUAACACCCGAAGCCGGUGGCCUAACCCCUUGUGGGAGGGAGCCGUCGCAAGGUUACCGG
rnacentral:rRNA from 1 species